rnacentral:rRNA from 1 species
ACGUACACUCCUGCGGGAGGCAGCAGUGGGGAAUAUUGCACAAUGGGCGCAAGCCUGCUGCAGCCAUGCCGCGUGUAUGAAGAAGGCCUUCGGGUUGUAAAGUACUUUCAGCGGGGAGGAAGGCAAUACGGUUAAUAACCGUGUUGAUUGACGUUACCCGCAGAAGAAGCACCGGCUAACUCCGUGCCAGCAGCCGCGGUAAUACGGAGGGCGCAAGCGUUAAUCGGAAUUACUGGGCGUAAAGCGCACGCAGGCGGUCUGUCAAGUCGGAUGUGAAAUCCCCGGGCUCAACCUGGGAACUGCAUUCGAAACUGGCAGGCUUGAGUCUUGUAGAGGGGGGUAGAAUUCCAGGUGUAGCGGUGAAAUGCGUAGAGAUCUGGAGGAAUACCGGUGGCGAAGGCGGCCCCCUGGACAAAGACUGACGCUCAGGUGCGAAAGCGUGGGGAGCAAACAGGAUUAGAAACCCCAGUAGUCCC